rnacentral:rRNA from 1 species
CAAUAGCGUAUAUUAAAGUUGUUGCAGUUAAAAAGCUCGUAGUUGGAUUUCUGAUCGAGACAUCAGGUCGGGUCCGAGGGGAUCAUGUACUUUGAUUUUGUUUUGAUCAUCCUUGGGGAGAGCAUUUCUGGCAUUCAGUUGUCGGGAUUGGGAUCCUCAUCGUUUACUGUGAAAAAAUUAGAGUGUUCAAAGCAGGCCUCGGCCUCUGAAUACAUUAGCAUGGAAUAAUAAGAUAGGACUUUGGUGGUCUAUUUUGUUGGUUUGCACGCCAAAGUAAUGAUUAAUAGGGAUAGUUGGGGGUAUUCGUAUUCAAUUGUCAGAGGUGAAAUUCUUGGAUUUAUGGAAGACGAACUACUGCGAAAGCAUUUACCAAGGAUGUUUUCAUUAA